rnacentral:rRNA from 1 species
CCUACGGGUGGCAGCAGUGAGGAAUAUUGGUCAAUGGGCGUACGCCUGAACCAGCCAAGUCGCGUGAGGGAUGAAGGUUCUAUGGGUCGUAAACCUCUUUUGUAAGGGAGUAACGUGCGGGACGUGUACCUUUUUGUAUAUACCUUGUGGAUAAGGAUCGGCUACUCCGUGCCAGCAGCCGCGGUAAUACGGAGGUGCCGAGCGUUAUCCGGAUUUAUUGGGUUUAAAGGGUGCGUAUGCGGGCUUUUAAGUCAGCGGGGAAAGUCUGUGGCUCAACCAUAGAAUUGCCGUUGAAACUGGGAGGCUUGAGUAUGUUUGAGGCAGGCGGAAUGCGUGGUGUAGCGGUGAAAUGCUUAGAUAUCACGCAGAACCCCGAUUGCGAAGGCAGCCUGCCAAGCCAUGACUGACGCUGAUGCACGAAAGCGUGGGGAUCAAACAGGAUUAGAUACCCCUGUAGUC